rnacentral:rRNA from 1 species
ACGAACGCUGGCGGCGUGCUUCACACAUGCAAGUCGAACGGAAAGGCCCUGCUUUUGUGGGGUGCUCGAGUGGCGAACGGGUGAGUAACACGUGAGUAACCUGCCCUUGACUUUGGGAUAACUUCAGGAAACUGGGGCUAAUACCGGAUAGGAGCUCCUGCUGCAUGGUGGGGGUUGGAAAGUUUCGGCGGUUGGGGAUGGACUCGCGGCUUAUCAGCUUGUUGGUGGGGUAGUGGCUUACCAAGGCUUUGACGGGUAGCCGGCCUGAGAGGGUGACCGGCCACAUUGGGACUGAGAUACGGCCCAAACUCCUACGGGAGGCAGCAGUGGGGAAUAUUGCACAAUGGGCGGAAGCCUGAUGCAGCAACGCCGCGUGCGGGAUGACGGCCUUCGGGUUGUAAACCGCUUUCGCCUGUGACGAAGCGUGAGUGACGGUAAUGGGUAAAGAAGCACCGGCUAACUACGUG